GAAUUCGAUUCGGUGUGACAAGGCCCGGGAACGUAUUCACCGCGGCGUGCUGAUCCGCGAUUACUAGCGAUUCCAGCUUCAUGGAGUCGAGUUGCAGACUCCAAUCCGAACUGAGAGCGGCUUUUUGGGAUUGGCUCCCCCUCGCGGGUUUGCGACCCUUUGUACCGCCCAUUGUAGCACGUGUGUGGCCCUGGACAUAAGGGCCAUGAUGACUUGACGUCGUCCCCACCUUCCUCCGGCUUAACGCCGGCAGUCUCCCUAGAGUGCCCAACUGAAUGGUGGCAACUAAGGACGAGGGUUGCGCUCGUUGCGGGACUUAACCCAACACCUCACGGCACGAGCUGACGACAGCCAUGCAGCACCUGAACCGGCGGUCCCCGAAGGGAAAGUCCUAUUUCUAGGACGGUCCGCCGUUGUCUAGCCCAGGUAAGGUUCUUCGCGUUAAUCACUA
rnacentral:rRNA from 1 species